rnacentral:tRNA from 1 species
GCCGAAGUAGCUCAGGGGUAGAGCAUCGCAUUCGUAAUGCGAGGGUCGCGGGUUCAAAUCCCGCCUUCGGCUCCA